rnacentral:rRNA from 1 species
UCUUGAGAGCGGCGGACGGGUGAGUAAUGCCUAGGAAUCUGCCUGGUAGUGGGGGAUAACGUUCGGAAACGGACGCUAAUACCGCAUACGUCCUACGGGAGAAAGCAGGGGACCUUCGGGCCUUGCGCUAUCAGAUGAGCCUAGGUCGGAUUAGCUAGUUGGUGGGGUAAUGGCUCACCAAGGCGACGAUCCGUAACUGGUCUGAGAGGAUGAUCAGUCACACUGGAACUGAGACACGGUCCAGACUCCUACGGGAGGCAGCAGUGGGGAAUAUUGGACAAUGGGCGAAAGCCUGAUCCAGCCAUGCCGCGUGUGUGAAGAAGGUCUUCGGAUUGUAAAGCACUUUAAGUUGGGAGGAAGGGCAGUUGCCUAAUACGUAACUGUUUUGACGUUACCGACAGAAUAAGCACCGGCUAACUCUGUGCCAGCAGCCGCGGUAAUACAGAGGGUGCAAGCGUUAAUCGGAAUUACUGGGCGUAAAGCGCGCGUAGGUGGUUUGUUAAGUUGGAUGUGAAAUCCCCGGGCUCAACCUGGGAACUGCAUUCAAAACUGACUGACUANAGUAUGGUAGAGGGUGGUGGAAUUUCCUGUGUAGCGGUGAAAUGCGUAAAUAUAGGAAGGAACACCAGUGGCGAAGGCGACCACCUGGACUAAUACUGACACU